rnacentral:rRNA from 1 species
GAUGAACGCUGGCGGCGUGCCUAAUACAUGCAAGUCGAGCGAACGGACGCGACGCUUGCUUCUCUGAUGUUAGCGGCGGACGGGUGAGUAACACGUGGAUAACCUACCUAUAAGACUGGUAUAACUUCGGGAAACCGGAGCUAAUACCGUAGAAUAUUUUGAACCGCAUUGUUCAAAAGUGAAAUACGGUCUUGCUGUCACUUAUAGAUGGAUCCGCGCUGCAUUAGCUAGUUGUUAAGGUAACGGCUUACCAAGGCUACGAUGCAUAGCCGACCUCAGAGGGUGAUAGGCCGCACUGGAGCUGGGACACGGUCAAGGGUACUAAGGGAGGCAGCAGUAGGGAAUCGUCCGCAGUAGGCGGAAGCAUGACGGAGCAACGGCGCGUGAGUGAUGACGGUCUUCGGAUCGUAAAACUCUGUUAUUAGGGAAGAACAUAUGUGUAAGUAGAUGUGCACAUCUUGACGGUAACUAAUAAGAAAGCAACGGCUAACUACGUG